rnacentral:rRNA from 1 species
AGCAAUAGCUACUUGCAUCAUUGCAAAGAUGAUGUAAGAUCGACUAUGUUGAAUAAAAUUCUAGGUAGAAUUAUGAUAAUGACAUUGUCUGCCUAUGUGUCUUGACCAAAUUACGUGCCAGCAGUCGCGGUAAUACGUAGAAGACUAGUGUUAUUCAUGUUUAAUCGGUUUAAAGGGUACCUAGACGGUAAAUCAAGCUUUCAUAAUAAUAAAAGGACUAAUUUGCUAGAGUUACUUAUGAGGGGGUUAUAAAGUACUGGUGGUGUAGAGAUGAAAUUCUGUCAUACCUCUUUUCCAAAGAAAAGUCAUGGCACAGGUAUAGGCGAAGGCAUCCCCUUAUGUGAUAACUGACGUUGAGGGACGAAGGCUUUGUGUAGCGACCAGGAUUAGAUACCCCAAUAGUCGGAGCAGAAAAUGAUGAAUGUCAUAGAUUAGAUAUAUAAGUUUAUUCUAUAAAUGAAAGUGUAAGCAUUCCACCUCAAGAGUAAUUUGGCAACAUUGGAACUGAAAUCAUUAGACCGUUUCUGAAACCAGUAGUGAAGUAUGUUGUUUAAUUUGAUGACCCGCAAAAAACCUUACCACAAUUUGAAUAUUUAUAUUUUUUAUUGUAUUCUUGUUAAUAUUUCUUCUGACUGCUUUUUUUUUGCAAAAUGAAAUGAAAAUUGAAGAAGAAUAUUAAUAAAGAGGCAGUAAGAUAUAUUUACAAGCGUUGCACGGCUGUCUUCAGUUAAUGUCGUGAGACUUUGGUUAGUUCCAUUAAAUUAACGUAAACCCUUACUUUAUUUUUAUAUAGAGUAGUUCCCCGCUAUAUUGGAUAUGAU